CCGAGUUUAGCAAAAUUUUCAACAAAAGCAGAAUUUUGAAAUGCCCUCUGUCCUCUCUCCUCUGACUCAGCACACAACAGACUCUCUUACUCUCUUUCUUCCAUUCUUCCAUCCUCUUGAAACGCUCUCUCUCCCAAUCGAAAGACCUCCUACAAUCCUAUCGAUCCCGCUCUCUCCAAAUUCAUCUCCUCAGUGGCUCAGCCUCAGUCCUUCCUAGUUCCUCCUCAUUUCAUCGACUUUGAUUUUUGUGAUUUCUGACCCGAUCGAUUUCAUCAGCUUCUGAGAAUUUGAAAUUUUAACAUAUGAGGUCAGUGGAGGUUUAUUGGCAGUCUCCUGUGCAAUAGCUAGAUUUCAAAAAGCACAUAGCAGUAAUAAUCCUUUAGAUGGUAAUGAUUUUGAUGAUUGUUUUAGGAAUGAUGAGGGAGAUAAAGGCAAUGAGGGUGUGUUUAGUUUACAUGACACACCUACAGAUUGUUUGUUUUAGAUUUGUUAACUUUUAGUUAUUAAAAUUCUAUGGACAUGUAUGAAUUUUUAUUUGAAUUAUGUAUUUUAAGAUGUUUGGAUAUUUGUAUUGUUUAUUUUACUUUUAUUUGAAUUAUGUAUUUUAAUGUA